rnacentral:lncRNA from 1 species
AAUUCCUGUCCGGGAAUUGUCCUGUGCUCCAGCCAUGGCUAGGACUUAUGUGGAGGGAGUCUCCCGGAGCCUUGUGAAGCCCUUCUCGCUGUCCCGGGCUUUUGUUGGCAGCUUCCUCCUUUGAGGAGGUGCCUGCUGCAUCUGUCACUGCAGCCCUGUCUCUGGAGUGGGCGGAGGCAGCCUGGGGAACCCAUUUAUCUCCUGCAGGCUGGAAGUGUGCUAUGAGGUUCCUGGCAGAGCAAGACUCCAUCUCCCCAGCCUCCUCCAUCCGUCUCCCAGGGUGCCUUUGUUUUGAAUCAUUUUUGAUUUCAAUUUAAGAAGAGAAAGAAGAGGCUGAGAUGAAGGAAGGAGGGACUCCAGCAGCUCUGUCACUGUGCUGUCGUCCUCCACGGAGACCACUUUCACCGGGACGGCCACCGUCUUCCCCGUGAGGAUGGCUGUGUUCAGGAUUUCUGCCUCCUGGAAGACCAAACACACCCUUCCAUGACAUCCCCUCCUGAGACGGCCCAGUCCCUGGGAUUUACAGAUGGCACAGACAGCUUUUGUCACUUGCCCAGGGUCACCCAGCUAGAAAUUAAUGAAGGCAGGAUUUGAACCUGGGAAGUCCAGCUCCCGAGUCCACGCAUCAGCUAACUCAAAUAGCUCUAAACGUGGACAUGACGACGGUAGCUUAAGCCGCCGAAGGAUGGCCAGAGGGGCCUGGUGUUGUGAAAGAAGCUUGAUGAGCAGCACUGCACCACCAGUGCAAGUGCACCCAUGCUCAUCCUCAGUGACUCCUCUAGAAUUCUUGUGAUUUUUUAACUGGUGGGGGACAGAGAGAUCAUAGGAGCCCAUUUUUCAGAUAGAGAAAACUGAGCCUCAAGACCCGGGGGAGGAUCAAAAGGAACAAGUGGUAGUCUGGAAAAAAGUGGAACAAUGCUGUUUAACUUGCUGGCCGAAACUGGCUCAUCACAAAGGAGACAGACGAGGGAGCAGUGUGGCCACUUCUGACAUCAGUCUCAGGGAACACAGUUUCUCAACAUUCGUGGUAAAAAGUGAAGAGCAUCUCCACUCUAACGAUAAAAAUCAAAAGGCCUUUCAUGUUUUUGCACAUUCAGGUUAACAUAAUGAGAAAUGACGCUGGGAAUGACUGAUGAGCAGCUGUAAGCCCAUAUGUCUGGGGUGUUGCCUUUUUCUCUGAAUAGCAUACGUGUUUCUGCCUACCAAGAUCUCAGUGUGGCUGAGUGACUGAGCCUUCAGGCUUGGUAUUUCCCUGCCUCCUCUGUGGAUUUCCAAUUCUUUGACGUCAAGAAUUUUCUCUUUUGCACAGCUUUGCCUCUUCCAGGAGGUGAAUGGUACGGGGAUGACUCACAAAAGUCUUCAGAUAAGAGGCGGACAAAAGAGACCCUUGUUCAGUGGCAGAAGUACCUGCAAAGCCUUAGCUUUGCUUGAGAUAUGACCUAUAACUGCUCUGAUUUUUGGACCCCAGAAAACCCUUGAAAGCUCAGCUUCCUUAUUGCUGUGUGUUCACCUUAUAACAGCACCGCAGAGCCUAGGAAAUAAAGGCACAGACUCUCUUCAGAAAA